rnacentral:rRNA from 1 species
UACAGAGGGUGCGAGCGUUAAUCGGAAUUACUGGGUGUAAAGCGCACGUAGGUGGCGACGUAAGUCGGGUGUGAAAGCCCCGGGCUCAACCUGGGAAUUGCAUUCGAGACUGCAUUGCUGGAGUACGGAAGAGGAAGGCGGAAUUCCCGGUGUAGCGGUGAAAUGCGUAGAUAUCGGGAGGAACAUCAGUGGCGAAGGCGGCCUUCUGGUCCAGUACUGACACUCAAGUGCGAAAGCGUGGGGAGCAAACAGG